rnacentral:misc_RNA from 1 species
GAUGAGAACGUAGCGAAAUGCGAUAAGUAAUGUGAAUUGCAGAAUUCAGUGAAUCAUCGAAUCUUUGAACGCACAUUGCGCCCAUUAGUAUUCUAGUGGGCACGCCUGUUCGAGCGUCAUUAAGUCCACUUAAGCCCUGCUUAGUGUUGGGAGACUGCUCCAGCGGUGCUACCCUGUAGCUACCCUGCAGCUCCUCAAAGACAGCGGCGGAGUUGUGGUAUCCUCUGAGCUUAGUAACUUGUUCUAGCUUUCGAGUACACCACUUCCCCUGCCGUAAAACCCUUAAUUUUUAAUGGUUGACCUCGGAUCAGGUAGGAAUACCCGCUGAACUUAAGCAUAUCAAUAAGCGGAGGA